GGGUGUUUAUGGCACACGAGGGGUGGAGAGCGCCCCGCCAUGGGGGCGGCCGCCUCAACUACCGCGAGGGCGGGGCGCGCUCCCCAAAAGCUCCCAACUAGCUCCAAGAGCCCCGAAGUCUAACUUCGAGCGUCAGGGGGACCUAAAGAUUGUAAUUCAUCUGGAUAAUACUGCAUAAUAUUAGACGCUGAAAUGCCUGGGGGACGCUUGAAAAGCUCCCCGACUAACUGGGAGACGUUUCCGCGGGCCUAGCCCUGACUCCAGUGUCUCCAGCUGAGAGGCUGAGCUUGCCAGCUCCAUUUCUGACUGCUCAUGGAGCAGAAUCAGUGACCAAGGAGAAAAGGGCUGAGUGAAGAAACAAGUGUGAGUGCCAAGAUGAUGCCAAGGGCUGUGAUUUCCUGGUGGGAAGAAAGAAGGAAUAGAAGCCAAAGGAAGGGGGAUGAAAAGCAAAACCAAGAAUCACAAGGAAUCAAGUUCGGAGAGAAUUUUGGCAGAGAUUUUGAGAGGGGGGCUUUAAGUCAGCCAUGGACAUACUGAAGCAAGAGGAAUGAAGGGAAAAAAGAAAAGGGGGGAAAAAAAGAAGAAGAAUGGGGCCAAGGAGGAUUUAAGACUACCAUUAUAGGUUACAAGUUGAAUUCUUUUUAAUAUUCUUCAAGCAAUGACAGUAAAGAUUCAAAUAACUUUUAAAUUACCUUUGAUUUCUAAACCAAGUUUCUUGGAAUGUGAAAGUCGCCAAGACUGGGCCCUGCAGGGCCUGGGUUGGGCUACUACUGCCUAUGGAGAUUCUGAGGGUAUUAACCUUAAUAAUGGCAUGAAAUCAAUAAAAAUCAUCCAAAAGCUUUUUUCUGAG
rnacentral:lncRNA from 1 species